rnacentral:lncRNA from 1 species
UCCCAGUUCAAGAACCCCCAGGCAGAAAGAAUUCUGUCUUACUUGGGAGAGGUUGGGGGGGGGGGGUCAGUCUUUAUGUUCUAUGCAGGCCUUCAGUUGAUUGGAUGAGGCCCACCCACAUUAGAGAAGGCAGUUUGCUUUAUUCACUCUACUGAUUUAAAUGUUAAUCUCAUCCAAAAACGCCCUCACAGAAACACCCACAGUAAUGUUUGACUAAACAUCUGGGAACCCCAUGACCGAGGCUUCUGACUCCUCCAAAACAUAACUAAUAAUGGAGCCUUAUUGAUAACAUAGACAAUUAACACAUAUUUUGUCUAUGUAUUAUUUACUGUAUUCUUAUACUAAAAUAAGCUAGAUAAAAGAAAAUGUUAUUAAGAAAAUAGAUCUACUCUUCAUUAAGUGGAAGUGGAUUAUCAUAAAGUUUGUCAUGUAGAGUAGGCUGAGGAGGAGGAGGAGGAAGACAAGGGCUCCAUCUUGCUGAAGAGAAGGGCUCCAUCUUGCUGUUUCUGGGUGGCAGAGAUGGAACAGAUAGAGGAGCUGGAAGAGGAAGCAGAAGAGGAAGACACACUUUGUGAUCACCAUGGAGUACAAUACUGUAGUUGUUCAUUUCCAGGUGAUACAGCACAGGAAGUUCCAAAGACGCUUUCAACCCCAAGACCAGAAACACAUUUCUGAAGGAAAUCCUACUAUUCUUGAAUAGUUCCAUGGUGGCCAUUCUCUGCGGGCAAGCAUGACAGUGGAAACUGCUGCCAUUAAAUUGAGAUCCCUAAGUUCAAUCAGGAUGGGGGUUUCCUGGAGUGGCAGGGACGCCAUGAUCAACUAACUAAUUCCAAAGAACUCCGUGGAUCAAACCAUCUGUUUACUGCUUUGGCUCUGCUGUCCAUCACGAUAAUUAUGCCCACCUUGUCCUCUAGACUGAAGACAGAAAAAAACUCAUUUAAAAACACUGGUGGUUGCCAGAUGCUAGAGAAGAGUAAAUUUAACAGUGACUUAGGCAAAAUUAUAUGGUAAAGUGUUAAACAAAUAAUUUAGAAAAUAAAUUUAAAAGUUAGAAAAGAAAACAGUAAUUACUCAGAACUAACACAAUUUCAGUAAAAGUAAUCUAUGCUAAAGUGGUCUCAUUUGUGCUUUCAAUGAAUUUACCCAAUCAGGAAAGGAGUUAUAUAUUAUAUUAUAGUAUGAAGUUAUUCAUACAUUUCAUGUGAACAAACAGUGUGAUAGAAGAAACCUGGAUUUUAUUAAUAACAGUAUAGUGGCAAAUAAAGAACAACUCCAUUCUAAUUUGCACUGAUUAAUCUAUAUAUGAACUGCCAAGACAAGUGUUGAAUAUAAUAUUUUAAAAGAAGUGUUUACCAAACAGAAUAGUCUACAAAGAAGAGACAAGCUCGAUAAGGACUCUGGAUAAUGCAUCAUAUUUAAAAAUGAUUGUGCUCACUGGAGUUUUGUCUCUAAAUACAAAAAUAAAACUACUGUCACUACCUUUUAGGAGAGCACCUGCCUUUAUAGAAAGUGUGAAUAUGUGAACUAGGAAAUUAAUUUAUUUGGGAUACCUUCAAAGGAAUAUCUAGCAUCAAAUCUAUACAUUUCCAAGGAGAGAGGUUUGGGUGCAAUGUCCAGAAAAACCUUCUACUUGUUGCUGUUGCUCAGUAGUGGAAUUAACUGCUUUAGAAAGCAAGGAGUUCUGGGCUCUUGGAAUGUUCACACAGAAGCUGAUUUUCCAUCUGCUGUGCAUGCUCUGGUUGAGGGCAUUCCUGCAACCUCAACCAAAGGAGGCUAAACUACAUGACCUUUAAGAUCCUUUCUAAUCUCAGAUUCCGUGAAGAGUGCUCAGACAAUAUUAAAAAAGGAAAAGGAAUUUCUGAGAUGCAUGGGAACUCUACAAACUGGCUUCCUAAGAAGGUUUAAACAAAGGCUGAAU